GGCCAGAGAGGGAGGGAGACAGAAUCCAAAGCAGGCUUCAGGCCCAAGCUGUCAGCACAGAGCCCAAUGUGGGUCUCGAACUUACGUUCUGUGAGAUCAUGACCUGAGUUGAAGUCGGACACCUAACUGACUGAGCCACCCAGGAGCCCCAGGGGGAGAUAUUAUUAAUUACAAUUACUACCUGAGGAUUUUCAAAGAUCAACAGGAUGAUUCUUAGAGAGAAAACAUUGUUCUUUUUACUUUAGCUCCAGACUUACUGUAAGUGAUAUUAUUAUAUGUGAAAUGCCAAUUUUUAAAUGAAUUUCCUAGAAAAGAAAGAAGUAUUUCCCUUAUUACUCUGACUUUUGAAAUAAAAGCAAGAAUUGGUUCAUUUCUCAAGUGUAAAAUUCAGCAGAAGCCAUGCCUGCUGACCCAUAAGAAUUUUCAAAAGGCUGGCUAAUGCAUUAUUGAUUGUACUCUUUCUAAUUAGUUCUAGGAAGUGGGCAGUCCUUGGGGUGGGGUGGAGGGUACAAGGCCUGGAGCAGUAUUGUGCGUCCCCUUCUCUGCUCCACGGGUCUUGUUAAUCUAGUGCUAUGGAGUCAUGAGGAACACAGCUUGGGUGGUGAACGUUUCUAGAAGGGCUAGCCUGAGGCUGGUGUGAGGCAGUAGGGAGAGGGAAAGCCUCCCGCUGAGCUCCAUGGCCGAGCAGAAGAUGACCUACACCGCAUGUUCCCGUGGAAGACUCAGGUCUGAUUAGCCCGCGGAACCAGCCCCUGCCUUACUCCAUGGCCGCUUCCUGCUUCACAAUUCAUUUUUCAGCAAGAGCUGAGGACAAGAGGAGACGUAGGUGGUCCAGGGCUGUUUAUCGGAUCCUCAUAUCCUACAUUAGUGUUUCUCAGAGGUGACCUUUGUACGUGUGUGUACCUCUGGGCAUACUCCAGUUUACCAGUUUACCGGUGGUUCUUUUAAAGGCAUUGCUGUAAGCCUAAGCAGGGUCUCCCACAUGCUGCUCCCAACCCCAGUCUAUAUCUUGUCACAGUACGACCCUCUGGGCAGCCAAAAAUUAUGGCAGUGAGCAGUAAUGGCCAGCUCCCUAAGACCUGGCAGGGCCUGCCCUUUCUUGGCAGCAAUUUCAUGCCUAUUUACACGCCCAGCGCCAAGAAGGAAGCCAAGAGAGAAUCUGUGUGCGCUUUACGCGCUUUAAAUGCACAGUGAAUUCUCAUACUUUUAAGUGUGGCCAAAUGAAUAUUUUGAGCCGUAUCAAUCUGGUUAGCAAUUCCUCUUUCCUCGGAGAGAAGAAAGGGUUUGGCAUAAGGUGGGUAGAGUGGCAGAUGUGUUUUCUUUUCUAUAUCUGGAUUAAGUUUGAAAGGAGAGGUUUUCCAAGUAGAAAAGCUAGAAUUCAGUUUAAGCAACAGAAGUCUGAAGAUAGGGGCUAUUUUGAACCCACCUUGGUCUGUGGUCCCCUCCCUUUUGUCUUUCUGUACUGUUUUUAUGUGAUUUUGAUUUUUUUAAAAAACUAAACCUUGGGAAGGCCGCAUAUAUAUCUCAGUAACAUACCUGUGACAUGAUGUCAGGAGUAUUUUUAUCUUUCUGGAGCCUUUUUCCAGUGCUAAUGGCUGACUCCAUGAGAUGCCAGAAUACCUCAGAAAGAAGAUGAGGUCACUGAGACUUCCCAUUCCCUAAGCAGGACAAUAUCUCAGAACUGCAGAUGGCAACCAUUUUGUGAGAUGCCUCCACCCCCAUCCCACCUUUUCAUAUCCUAGUGUUUACCAUGGGAGGUUCUAAUGAGCCUGAGUUGUAAGAGUCAGCAAUAAUGGACUGGAAAGAUGGGGCAAUUUUCCCAGAAGACCAAACAGAAUGACGAUCCUCUAAAGAAGGACCAUAACAAUCUAAAGACUGCAUUUACCUGAAUUGACCAUGUUGAGGACCACACGGUAUGUUUUAAGGGUUGGGCCAGAAAGUGAGAUAUAUCACCAGCCAUAUGUCUUUGGCCCACACUAGCUACACAGUCUGACCUACAUGCCAAGGGUGGGGAAAUAUGAUCUUCCUAUUGACUCUGUCAUAUUCUUUAAUAAGAAUCUGUCAGUCAGUAAUAUUUAUUCAUAAUCAGCUUGGUGCAUAUCUUUGUAUUAAGCACCACGAAAGUAAGAAGAGAGUCAAAAGUUCCCAUGCAUGGUUGUAGAGAAUGGGUUCAGGCAAGAGGUCUUUUUUGA